GAAUACGCCCCGGCCGCGCAGUGCAGUCUGGGGCUACGGGCGGUGUUAUCAGGGAUCCUCGGGACGUCCCUACCUAAUUGAUGUUGACAUUUCAAAUGGUUAAUGGUAAGGCUAGGGACGACUCAAGCAUUCUGCAUAGAACUGACCGUAAGGCGACUGUCGCAACAAUCUACUUGAAAUGCAAACCUUUGGUCUCUCCGUUGAUCAGAAGCAUCUGUGCUAUGUACCGGAUUGUAACCACAACUCCAAUAAGCAUACGUGCAUUUUUUAAAUCGAUUUUCGACCUCUAAGUGAAAGGCGUCGCUGGAGCCAUGUGAUAAGGGCGGGAGGUCACCGUGGUAACGAGGCCAGUCAACCUGUCACAUGGAUGGACUGAAAACCCAGUGAUAACAGUCCGGUAUGUAGCUGUCAUUUUCUUUUGGGAAAAAGAAAUGGCCCUGUAAUUACCAGAAAAGGUAGCACAUCCACCAUGGCAGAAGAGGAAGAUUCAGACUGUUGAUUGGGAAACAAGAACAAACGAUGAUGAAUGAGUAUUAUAAACAAUAUGUUUUCUGUCCAGAUAAAGAUGGUAAUACAGCAUUGAAAAAGACCUACCACUGAACAAAUGUCUUUGUUUUUCAGUCCAACAGGAGUGCAUCCCUCAGGCCAUCCGGUGCAUGGACAUCCUGUGCCAGUGUGAUCCGGUUGUGGAGACUCCAGUAAAUCGAGCCUGUGGCCGGACAGGCGUGGCAUGCAGAACGUCAGACUCACCCCACGAGAAGCAGUGCAUGAUCAACACCACCCUCGGCAAGGGGAUCUGCUAUGAGUGAUGUACUCUCUCACUCUGGGUGUAAGACAUAAUUUAAACAUCAUAGAUAUAAAUUACGACUGUGCCCAUGAUAACAUUUUAUGCGAGUUGUGAAACUGUGGAGAUUCAUUCAGACCAUCCGUUGUGAUUUGAACUUAUAAUAACUACAUUACUUUAGUUGGCUGCUUUGAGGAAAACUUGAAUGUAAUAUAAACUAUUCUAGUUGUUUGUGAAUGAUCUUUAUUCAUUUUUCACUUUUUCAACAAUAUCAGAUAGUCAGGGAUGAUCGGGGCCUUCAGCAAGUAAGACAUGGGAUAAGAAAUUAUUUGAACAUCACAGAAACAGUAUAAAUUCCCACUGUGCCCAUGAUAAAGUUAACCACUACUUGCCCUCCAUGACACCUACAACACCUGAUGUCACAGGAAGGCAAAAAAGAUCCAAGGACAAUAACCACCCGGGCCAUGACCUGUUCACCCUGCUUCUAUCCAGAAGGCAAGGUCAGUACAGGUGCAUCGGAGCUGAGACAGAGCGAUAGAAGCUGUUUUUCAAUCUCAAGGCCAUCAGAUUGUUCAACAGCCACCACUAUCACAGAGAGGGUCGGCUGCCUACCUACAGACUUGAUAUCAUUGGCUUUAAUAAAUGGAACACUAGUCACUUUAAUAAUGCUACUUUAAGCAUGUGGCAGGGUAGCCUAGUGGUUAGUGAUGGACUAGUAACUGAAAGGUUGCAAGUUCAAAUCCCCGAGCUGACAAGGUACAAAUCUGUCGUUCUGCCCCUGAACAAGGCAGUUAACCCACUGUUCCUAGGCUGUCAUUGAAAGUAAGAAUUUGUUCUUAACUGACCUGCCUGGAUAAAGGUUAAAAAUAAAUCAAUGUUAACAUCUCACAUUACUCAUCUAUGUAUAUACUGCAUCUUUCAGCAUCUUAGCUGCUCUCACUGCUCAUCCAUAUUUUAUACUUACAUAUUCUCAUCCCAUUCUUUUACUAGAUUGUGUGUAUUAGGUUUUGUUGUGGAAUUGUUAGAUAUAACCUGUUACAUACUGCUGUACUGUCGGCUCAAGAAGCAUAAGCAUUUCUCUACACUCGCAAUAACAUCUGCUAACCAUGUGUAUGUGACCAAUAACAUUUUAUUUUACAUUACUUUCAUUGGCUGCUUUGAGCAAAACUUGUAAUGGAACUUGUUUUGUGAGCCGUGUAUGAACUAUGUGAAAUAUUUUUGCUGAAAACAGGUACUUGCAGGAGGAGCAAUAUGAGUCUGCAAGAGUUUGUCAUGUUAUGGAGGCUUUGGUGGUCCACACAAUGAAGCAGGUGUCCCUUCCAGUGAUGUGGAAGGACCUGAUGCUAGUAAGGAUGUUGUUCAGAGGCUGAAAGAUCCUCCUUGAUAUAGAAAUCCUUCGACUUCACUGCCUCAAUGGUAAGGUCCCUUGCACCAUUGGGAAACUUUACCUACACCACUACCGUGGUGCCCACCAGACCAUCCUGUGAGGAUCCCAGACCCUGUGACCCAUAGCCCUGACUCCUGCACUUCCAUCCCUGUGGCCAUUUUUAAUGCAUUGAUGUGCUCUUUGUUAUCUGUGGCCCACUGUAGACGACACCCCAGCCAAUGACUGUGGACAAAUUGAAAUGCAUUCGUUGUAAGGAAUGUGCUUUAUAAAUAAAGUGUGAUUUGAUUGACAUUACAGCUGUAUAAUAUUUAAUAAACUAACUUUCACAUGAGGACAA